AGAGUUUGAUCCUGGCUCAGAUUGAACGCUGGCGGCAUGCCUUACACAUGCAAGUCGAACGGCAGCGCGGGGCAACCUGGCGGCGAGUGGCGAACGGGUGAGUAAUAUAUCGGAACGUGCCCUGGAGUGGGGGAUAACGCAGCGAAAGUUGCGCUAAUACCGCAUACGAUCUAAGGAUGAAAGCAGGGGACCGCAAGGCCUUGUGCUCCUGGAGCGGCCGAUAUCUGAUUAGCUAGUUGGUGGGGUAAAGGCCUACCAAGGCAUCGAUCAGUAGCUGGUCUGAGAGGACGACCAGCCACACUGGAACUGAGACACGGUCCAGACUCCUACGGGAGGCAGCAGUGGGGAAUUUUGGACAAUGGGCGAAAGCCUGAUCCAGCAAUGCCGCGUGAGUGAAGAAGGCCUUCGGGUU
rnacentral:rRNA from 1 species